rnacentral:lncRNA from 1 species
AAGUUUGGUUGAGGCGCGGUGUGACCUGGGAGCCGCCUAGCCGGCUCUGGGCUCCGGGCUGGCGGGCGAAGCCAUUGUUUUCUGAAUUCCCCGGCACGCCGUGGGCCUGGCGCGGGUUUAGAGAGCAGAUUCCGGGGCUCCUCCAGUUCCACGUGGCUGAUGCUGACAGACAGAUGGCGGCCCAGUCGGCAUUUCCCUCAGCUCUGUCGCUCUGCAAGGACUGCUGAGACAGCUAUGGAUCCUGAGCUCGCCAGCCUAGGCUGAUGGUGGCCCGGUCACUCAGUGCUUGGAAGCGGGAAGAAAAAACUCACCUUACUCGGCGUGCAUAAACCUUUACCAGCCGGGGGGUUAGGCCAGGCCAAGGGCACGCCUGAUGUUUGGCCUCCCAGGUGGCCCAGCAGGACGAAAGGGAAAAUCCUUAGAACUCUUCUUUUUCUGAGGUUUACCUCAGCGUUACCAACUCAUCUCUGUUGGGUGGGCUGGCAACAUUUGGGUGUUUAAGCCAUCUAUCCCCGUUCUCCCUCUUUUCCAAAAGGGCAUGGCCAGGCUUGAGGUCCUGUGUGUAGGGAUUAAAAAGCAUGUGCCACCAUGCCCCGCGAAGCCUAACCCUUAAUAGUAGUUAUCAGGACUGAUGGCAGUCAUCAAGCUUCAGUAUAAUUUUGGAAUAAGAUUUUGUUUAUUAUAUAUUUUUAUAUAUGUCCCCAAUGUGAACUUCACAUACCUGGUUUGUGUCUUUGUAAAUUGGAAAAAAAACUCAAAAAUAAGACAAUGGGAAGAAUAAUUAAACAUAUUCGUGUUUAAUUAAAGACUAGGAUUUAACUUAGGCUCUAUAUGCUGACGAGUCUACUGUUCUUGAAACAUACAGAUUUUUUUCUGUUAAUUGCUGUGUCAAAUUAUAAUUUAUUAUAUAUUUAUAUACAGUUAUGAUUAUAAUAUAUGUUGGUUGAGAGAAAAAUACAGGCAAUGUAGGACUCAGCAAAUAAAGAUAAUAAUACUGUUUAUAGAGUGCACUGUAGGAGCCAGGGGCUGUUUUAUGUACUUUUUGUUUUGUUUUGAUAUUUGAGACAGGGUUUCUUUGUGUAGCCUUGGCUGCCCUAGAACUUGCUCUCUAGACUAGGCUGGCCUUGAACUCAUAGAGAUCUGCCUGCCCCUGCCUCCUGUGCUGGAAUUAAAGGUAUGCACCAUCACCA